rnacentral:rRNA from 1 species
AUCCCAGACUCCUACGGGAGGCAGCAGUGGGGAAUAUUGCACAAUGGGGGAAACCCUGAUGCAGCGACGCCGCGUGAGCGAAGAAGUACCUCGGUAUGUAAAGCUCUAUCAGCAGGGAAGAAGAUGACGGUACCUGACCAAGAAGCUCCGGCUAAAUACGUGCCAGCAGCCGCGGUAAUACGUAUGGAGCAAGCGUUAUCCGGAUUUACUGGGUGUAAAGGGAGCGCAGGCGGCCUUGCAAGUCUGAUGUGAAAUCCAAGGGCUCAACCCUUGAACUGCAUUUGAAACUGUCGUUCUUGAGUACUGGAGAGGUUGACGGAAUUCCUAGUGUAGCGGUGAAAUGCGUAGAUAUUAGGAGGAACACCAGUGGCGAAGGCGGCUUACUGGACUGUAACUGACGUUGAGGCUCGAAAGCGUGGGGAGCAAACAGGAUUAGAUACCCCAGUA